GUGCUCGCUUCGGCAGCACAUAUACUAAAAUUGGAACGAUACAGAGAAGAUUAGCAUGGCCCCUGCGCAAGGAUGAUACGUAAAUCAUAUAAUUUCCAGAAUAUUCU
rnacentral:snRNA from 1 species